GUAAAGGAGAGCCACGUUUCCUGAGGGAGGGAGGGAAAGAACAGAAAGAAGGAGCCCGGAGACAGAGACAGGUUGACACCUCUGAAGUCAAAAUGUGUCUUGUAACUAAUGAUGUCACAGGUCUGGGAUUCCAGGACCAUUUCCAAGUCAAGGAACAGGAUUCCUGAAUCACUGUUACUGUCACCAUGGUCCUUCCCACAGGGUGAUGAUGACACAAGGCUUGUUGCCAUCAAAAGCAUUCAUUGAAGCUGGAAUCACCAUCACUGCCUUAUCUUUCCCUUGUAGGAGCUCUGGAAAAGGGGCCAUCCCACACAGACUACCAUUUGAGGCACUAUGCCUCCCCCUACACAUCUGAGUGAAUGUUUCUAGGGGCCAGCUGAUGUCAAGAGACCCCAGGACUGUGCGUUACACUGCUGAUUCAUCCCACGGCAGUGGACAUCUCGACCUG